rnacentral:rRNA from 1 species
GAUGAACGCUGGCGGCGUGCCUAAUACAUGCAAGUCGAGCGAACAGACGAGGAGCUUGCUCCUCUGACGUUAGCGGCGGACGGGUGAGUAACACGUGGAUAACCUACCUAUAAGACUGGGAUAACUUCGGGAAACCGGAGCUAAUACCGGAUAAUAUAUUGAACCGCAUGGUUCAAUAGUGAAAGACGGUUUUGCUGUCACUUAUAGAUGGAUCCGCGCCGCAUUAGCUAGUUGGUAAGGUAACGGCUUACCAAGGCGACGAUGCGUAGCCGACCUGAAGGGGGCGUCCGACACCCUGGAACUGAGACACCGUCCAGACUCCUACGGGAGGCAGCAGUAGGGACUCUUCCGCAAUGGGCGAGAGCCUGACGGAGCAACGCCGCGUGAGUGAUGAAGGUCUUCGGAUCGUAAAACUCUGUUAUUAGGGAAGAACAAAUGUGUAAGUAACUAUGCACGUCUUGACGGUACCUAAUCAGAAAGCCACGGCUAACUACGUG